CCUACGGGUGGCAGCAGUGAGGAAUAUUGGUCAAUGGCCGGAAGGCUGAACCAGCCAAGCCGCGUGAAGGACGAAGGUUCCAAGCAUUUUAAACUUCUUUUGUCAAGGGACAAAAUCAGGCUCGAGAGCCUGACCGAGGGUACUUGAAGAAAAAGCAUCGGCUAACUCCGUGCCAGCAGCCGCGGUAAUACGUAGGGGGCAAGCGUUAUCCGGAUUUACUGGGUGUAAAGGGAGCGUAGACGGGAGCACAAGUCUGGAGUGAAAUGCCGGGGCUUAACCCCGGAACUGCUUUGGAAACUGUGCAGCUAGAGUGCAGGAGAGGUAAGUGGAAUUCCUAGUGUAGCGGUGAAAUGCGUAGAUAUUAGGAGGAACACCAGUGGCGAAGGCGGCUUACUGGACUGUAACUGACGUUGAGGCUCGAAAGCGUGGGGAGCAAACAGGAUUAGAUACCCUGGUAGUC
rnacentral:rRNA from 1 species